GUGAAGUUUUGGAGCCCUUCAGGCCCCCUGCAGGGGUGUCUGCAGAGAUGACUUUUCCAGCUCCUCUGCUGGUUCCACACAAGCCCAGCUCACAUGGCAAGGGUCCUCCAAAAGGCAAGAACCAUCCUUCAGGUGAAAAGAAAGCCCAGGAGCCAUCUGAAGAAGCAGCCGGUGCCACAACACGUGCUCCCAGUACCCAGGAGAGCACUGGCAGAGGUUUCUGUUGGGGAACACGCUGUCUGACGGUGAUAAUGGCAAGCAUGUUGGGC